CAGCAGCCGCGGGAAUACGUAGGGUGCGAGCGUUAAUCGGAAUUACUGGGCGUAAAGCGUGCGCAGGCGGUUUUGUAAGACAGGCGUGAAAUCCCCGGGCUCAACCUGGGAAUGGCGCUUGUGACUGCAAGGCUAGAGUGCGGCAGAGGGGGAUGGAAUUCCGCGUGUAGCAGUGAAAUGCGUAGAUAUGCGGAGGAACACCGAUGGCGAAGGCAAUCCCCUGGGCCUGCACUGACGCUCAUGCACGAAAGCGUGGGGAGCAAACAGGAUUAGAUACCCCCGUAGUCCCUGUCUCUUAUAC
rnacentral:rRNA from 1 species